rnacentral:rRNA from 1 species
UCGUCGCCGUGAGGGUGUUGGGNUUAAGUCCCGCAGCGAGGCGCAACCCUCGCUGUUAGUUGCCAUCAUUUAGUUGGGCACUCUAACGGGACCGCCGGUGAUAAGCCGGAGGAAGGUGGGGAUGACGUCAAGUCAUCAUGGCCCUUACGGGCUGGGCUACACACGUGCUACAAUGGCGACCAUAAUGGGUAAUCCCCAAAAGUCGUCUCAGUAUGUCCUCUGCAACUCGAGGGCAUGAAGUCGGAUCGCUAGUAAUCGCAGAUCAGCNUGCUGC